rnacentral:rRNA from 1 species
CCCUUAGAUGUUCUGGGCCGCACGCGCGCUACACUGAAUGGAUCAACGUGUUUUCCCUUCCCGAGAGGGACGGGUAACCCGCUGAACCCCAUUCGUGGUAGGGAUCGGAGCUUGCAAUUGUUCUCCGUGAACCAGGAAUUCCCAGUAAGCGCAAGUCAUAAGCUUGCGUUGAUUACGUCCCUGCCCUUUGUACACACCGCCCGUCGCACCUACCGAUUGAAUGGUCCGGUGAAAUCUCGGGACGGCGGCUCGGUCGCUUGCGUCCGACUGCUGAAACUUGAUUAAACCAUAUCAUUUAGAGGAAGGUGAAGUCGUAACA